rnacentral:rRNA from 1 species
UACGUAGGGUGCGAGCGUUGCCCGGAUUUAUUGGGCGUAAAGGGCGCGUAGGCGGCUCGGCACGUCCGUUGUGAAAUCGCCCGGCUCAACUGGGCGGGGUCAGCGGAUACGGUCGAGCUUGAGCAAGCUAGGGGGCAAUGGAAUUCCCGGUGUAGUGGUGGAAUGCGUAGAUAUCGGGAGGAACACCAGUGGCGAAGGCGACUACCUGGCCUGUUCUUGACGCUGAGGCGCGAAAGCUAGGGGAGCAAACGGG